rnacentral:rRNA from 1 species
AUUGAACGCUGGCGGCAGGCCUAACACAUGCAAGUCGAGCGGAUGAGAGGAGCUUGCUCCUUGAUUCAGCGGCGGACGGGUGAGUAAUGCCUAGGAAUCUGCCUGGUAGUGGGGGACAACAGUUGGAAACGACUGCUAAUACCGCAUACGUCCUACGGGAGAAAGCAGGGGACCUUCGGGCCUUGCGCUAUCAGAUGAGCCUAGGUCGGAUUAGCUAGUUGGUGAGGUAAAGGCUCACCAAGGCGACGAUCCGUAACUGGUCUGAGAGGAUGAUCAGUCACACUGGAACUGAGACACGGUCCAGACUCCGACGGGAGGCAGCAGUGGGGAAUAUUGGACAAUGGGCGAAAGCCUGAUCCAGCCAUGCCGCGUGUGUGAAGAAGGUCUUCGGAUUGUAAAGCACUUUAAGUUGGGAGGAAGGGCAGUAAGUUAAUACCUUGCUGUUUUGACGUUACCGACAGAAUAAGCACCGGCUAACUUCGUGCCAGCCGCCGCAGUAAAAC